GUUUUUUGUUGUGCAGAGCAGAUGUUAGUGAAAGAACAUUCAGCGCAAAAUCAACAAAAGGGCACAACUCAAGGAAAUUGCAACAAACUGAAACACAACAACGAGAUGCACAACUUUACUCCACAUCUGGAAUCCCUCGAACGGUCUCAGGCCUACAAGAUGUAGUGAAAGAAAUUCAGCCAAAAUCAACAAAAGGGCACAACUCAAGGAAAUUGCAACAAACUGAAACACAACAACAAAAGCAAAAUUGUUCAGCUGUUGAAGUACAACUUCAUAGCACUAUUUAAAUUUGCAAUUCAGUUUUACAGUAACCUUAAACAUUUGCUUAUAUAGCAUUACACAAUGAACAAAUCUUGGGAAUAAAAUCUCUAAAAAUUA